UCCGUAGGUGGACCUGCGGAAGGAUCAUUAUCGAAUUUAAAGCUUGGUUGAGCUGUCGCUUCGGCGUACGUGCUCGCCUCGCCGUCCAUUCUUCAACACCUGUGCACACUUCAAAGUAAUCGUUCCUUGUCCCAUCCCACUUGUACGGGGGAGUUGUAAAAGAAAGGAUCAUUAAUUUGGUUCUCUCCUUAUAGCUCUCCAAAGAGAGGGUAAGAUGUUACAAGAACGAUCUUUGCCUUAUAACAUACCCUUCUUUUAAAAAUGUUUAUGAACGUCAAACAAUGUAGGCUCGCCUUAAAAACGUGUAGCUGAAAUUAUAAAAUUAUACAACUUUUAACAACGGAUCUCUUGGCUCUCGCAUCGAUGAAGAACGCAGCGAAAUGCGAUAAGUAAUGUGAAUUGCAGAAUUCAGUGAAUCAUCGAAUCUUUGAACGCACCUUGCGCUCCCUGGUAUUCCGGGGAGCAUGCCUGUUUGAGUGUCAUUAAAUUCUCAACCUCGAACCGUUUGUUUACAGACUUUACGAGGCUUGGACUUUGGAGUGUGCCGGUCUCUAACGGGAUCGACUCCUCUUUAAAUGCAUUAGCUGGAACCUCCUGUGGACCAGACUACGGUGUGAUAAUUAUCUACGCUGUUGGUCUUGUGAAGCACUUUAUUGUUACGAGGUUCUGCUUCUAAUCGUCCUUUACUGCGACAAUGAGGGUGUUCUUUUGAAUGCCUUUGACAUUUUGACCUCAAAUCAGGUAGGACUACCCGCUGAACUUAAGCAUAUCAAUAAGCGG
rnacentral:rRNA from 1 species